rnacentral:lncRNA from 1 species
GUAAUGAGAGGUUGGAGAUGGGUUCUCUUCACGCUUUGCGUCAGACCUUUCACAGCUAACGACGAUGAGAGCUCUCAUCUCACAUUAAACAAACCUCAAGAGUCACGCAUUCUCUGUUUUGCUUUGUGGGGAACUUUUUAUUUUAUUAAUUGUUCUUGAGUUAUACACUUAUACACUUAUACUACUGUUUCUUUAAAUAAAUUGGAAGCCGAUAUGGUUUAGAUUGAACGGUUUAUGUAGACCUUUCAAAUUGUAAUCUACAUUGCAUUAAACCAAAAUACUCUAGUAUAUAUUAAGAGUGUUUAACGUAGUGGUAGUGGUAUCAUAUACCGUUCGAUCUAAAUCAUAAUCUAAUAGCCGAAUCUUUGAGUUUUUGUAUUGUUUGUUACUUUGUUGUAAUCAAUUUGUAAAUGUGAUUAGGCGCAAAACAAAAACAAAACUAUAAUGAAUGAGGAUUUGUUA